rnacentral:rRNA from 1 species
UACGAAGGGGGCUAGCGUUGUUUCGGAUUUUACUGGGCGUAAAGCGCACGUAGGCGGAAUCGAUCAGUCAGGGGGUGAAAUCCCAGAGCUCAACUCUGGAACUGCCUUUUGAUACUGUCGAUCUGGAGUAUGGAAGAGGUGAGUGGAAUUCCGAGUGUAGAGGUGAAAUUCGUAGAUAUUCGGAGGAACACCAGUGGCGAAGGCGGCUCACUGGUCCAUUACUGACGCUGAGGUGCGAAAGCGUGGGGAGCAAACAGG